rnacentral:rRNA from 1 species
AUUGAACGCUGGCGGCAUGCCUUACACAUGCAAGUCGAACGGUAACGCGGGGCAACCUGGCGACGAGUGGCGAACGGGUGAGUAAUGUAUCGGAACGUGCCCAAUAGUGGGGGAUAGCCCGGCGAAAGCCGGAUUAAUACCGCAUGAGACAUGAGGGUGAAAGCGGGGGAUCGCAAGACCUCGCGCUGUUGGAGCGGCCGAUAUCAGAUUAGGUAGUUGGUGGGGUAAAGGCCUACCAAGCCUGCGAUCUGUAGCUGGUCUGAGAGGAUGACCAGCCACGCUGGGACUGAGACACGGCCCAGACUCCUACGGGAGGCAGCAGUGGGGAAUUUUGGACAAUGGGCGCAAGCCUGAUCCAGCCAUGCCGCGUGCGGGAAGAAGGCCUUCGGGUUGUAAACCGCUUUUGUCAGGGAAGAAAUCUUCUGGGUUAAUACCUCGGGAGGAUGACGGUACCUGAAGAAUAAGCACCGGCUAACUACGUGCCAGCCGCCGCCGUAA